CUAAGGAUGGAUCACCAUAACUUUGUAAAUACAAAUCGUAUUGGUUUGUAUUCGUCCGCUACUCUUUAUUACACUAGUUAGCUAUGCUAAAAGUCGAUAAAAAGUUUAUUAAAUACAAAAUAUGACGUUAAACAAGCAAUUUUAAAAAGUGAUCGAUUUUGCACCGUGAAAAAAGUGCGGGGCAAGAUGGGUCACCUUUUAAGUAAUUCACAUUUUCUCAACGAAAAACGUCAAAAUAUGAGAUUUGUUCGGCAUUCAUAUAUGCUCCAUAUCCAUACUGAGUAAACAAGAGCUACUAGUGAACAUUUUAUAAAUUUAUUUGGAAUAUAAAAAACUUUACGAUUUGAGUGGUCCUAAGGCGACUUGAAAAUCGAUGUUUUCACUAAAAAAAUAUCAUAAUUUUAUGUUAUAAUUUUGAGCGUUUAUUCCGCUUGAUUGAAGUCAUUUAUGAGAUAGUCUUGUAAUAAAAAAUAAAUAACUUUGGAAUGCUCCAAAAAUUGUAAUUGUAAUUGUAAUUGCUCAGUCCACACCCAGGCCGACAACUGUCAGCCCAUCUGCUUGUAGGCAGAUGUGGACCUACUAAGCCUCCCCCGUUAACAUGUCCUACACCGAAUUAGCACACCGGGAUCUUCCACAGGCAGGCGCUGGCGUUAGGGUUCAUUCACAAAUAUCAUAACGCCACAAUUGGCCUAUUUUAACACCCACCCACCCCUUCGUAACACUGUUUGUAUGGGAAGAAAAAUUAUUUGUUCGAGCUGUAACACCACGAUGGACACCCACCCACCCCCUCGAGCGUUAUGACAUUUGUGAACAAGCCCUUACCAGUCCCAACAAGUGUCAGAUACAUUGAAUAGAGAAGGUAGAGGAUAUAGGAAGAUGUGGGACUAGGAUGGGAAGAGGUAGAAAAUGAAGAGAUAGUAGAGAGGUUUCGAUUUUGUUGCUGAAACGAGAAAAAGAAAGAAUGAUAAAGAACAUUAGCGAUAUGUUCAUAGAUUAUGAUUUGGUCGAUAAUUUCUCAUCUAUUUUGUUUCCAUAUCGUUGCAUCGGUGACCAUUUUCAUCGCCUUUCUAGUUUUUGUUAGGGCCAUCUCGCGUUUUUCGUCAUGUCCUCUUUGCCGGUUGGCGACGUUCGGGAUGUAAGUAGAAAAGCAUGCAUUUAAUAUGAUUAGUACGACAGUAAUUGUGAUUGCUCAGUACUUCCAGCCCAUUUGUCCGCAGUACAUAUCAGGCAUCCCGUUUUAACAAGUCCUACACAGAAUUAGAAACCCGGAUCUCCCACAGACAGUCCUAACUAGUGUCAGAUAAGUUCAAUUGAGGAUAGGAAGCGGCGAAAUGAGAAGACAGUUUGGUACAUUGGUAGCUGUGUUCAUGUGAUGUUUGUCUGGCAUUGAAAAACUAUUUUCCGUAGGUGUUUAACUCUCUACCCAAAAUUUAAUACCGGAAAAAUAUCUGAUCAGAUGUAUAGUUUGGCAAUUCUAUGUCCAUACAUCUUUUAUCAAGAAGGAAUAAUGUUGUUUACUGUUAUAAAAUAAUUCAGUUAAAGGGAGGCUAAUGCAUUGUAAUCCAGAAUAAACCUACAGAAAAUGUCCCAAUAAAAAGUUAACACUAGUUCAACUAACUACACAAACUAAAAAGUGUUGUUAUAUUUUACCAAUGAUUUCAUCCUAAUCUUGACCCUAACAUAGUUAUGCGCUUAGUGGACAAUGACCAAAAAUAGUCCUACGCGGAACAUUACUCUCUUCAUUCGGAUAGCGGCUAUAUAACCCAUUGGAUUAAAAACCUCCAUCAAACAUGAAGCGAUUAAUCGGAAACUGAAGACUCUAUACCAAAUUUGGCUCAGAGACAGGUAAUCAGUGAGGUCAGUUUUUCUCGUUUGUCAGAGACGAUUGAUACGUAUUAAGACAAACUUUCCACUGCAUCGGCCAGCAAUAAUCGGUGAUCGAUCAACAUUUCGAGUACCUACUCCAAUUUACACAAGAAUGCCAAGGAUCACCGCUCAUGCUUUACAAUACAGUUGGAAAAACUAGAGCAACACCUGGCCACAAUGAUGCAUAAAGCACUAAAGCGAACCGGAAGUGUCGGUGAGCCAGCCCCACCAACUUUGGAAUGCUCCAAAAAUACGUUCAAAAUUGAAGGUGACCCAUCUUGCCCCGCGGCCGUUUAUAUGGGGAUUAUAUGGAAUGUAUCACAUAAGAAAAAUGGCUAAAAACCAUUUUAUUUUUAAUUCCAAUGAGAGUGAAUAAUUUUUCAAUCAAUGCUCCAAACUUUUGUAUAUUCAUGCUGGUCAUCUAACAAAAUUAUUAACAUAACCCUCUAAUACCCAAUCCCGCCUUUAGACGGGGUAUAGUUUGAGCAUUUUUGUAAUUUUUGUUUCGUGGAAAAUCAUUUUUUUUAUAUUUUUGGCUGAUAUUUAGGACAGUUCUGUAUAUCUCCAAAUGGUUUUUGGUGUAUUUUAAAGCGUAUUUACAUUUUUUAAAAAUCCUUGAAAAAUUGAUGUUUUAGUCACCUUUUAGAAGUCAUUGUUUAUUUUGUAUUGAAUCGCUUCAAUUAACAUAUUUUAAAUUUUUCCCAAAUCAUUCUAUCCUUGUUUAAUAGUUUAAGGGAAUCGAAUACACUCUAAAAUUAUUUUCCUUAAAAUUACAUGGAAAAUAGAAUUUUCUGUGAAAAAAAAUUAAAAUAAUAAUAUUUCAACAAUAAUCAUAAAAUCUCAAAAUGUUUUCAUCUCAAAAAAUCCGUUCCCCUAAUUGGCUUCUAGGAAAAAUAUAAAAGUGUGGGGAUGUUCAAAAAUAAAAAUUAGAAAAAUCAAAAACUGAAAUUCACGAAAUCGAGAAUUAAAAAGAAUCAUCUUCCAAAACAUGUUUAAAUCGAUUUUAGAUGACGAAAAAUGAUAUUUAGAUCAAAAUAAAAAAUUUGGGUAUUAGAGGGAUAAUCAAAACAUAAGUAAUGCGCCCGAAAAUGGCACUGACCCACCUUGCCCCGCGACCCAUCUUGCCCCGCCCCACCCUACGUAUUUCGACCUCAACUGUAAGGUCGUCUUCAGUGUCUUGUACUUGACUCGACUCGGUAUGCAUAACACACUGAAAGACUUACCCGGACGCGGCAAAAAACAGGUGCGUCCAAGUCAAAUUUGGACAGCAAAACAUGCAAAAUCGUUGAAGGAAAAUAGGAGGUAUCCAUUAGAGAUUAAGCAAAAAAGUGUGAAACGACUGUUGGUACACGGAGAGAAAUCAAACUAGUUUGAAGCAACCAAAAUUUUAGUUGACGUUCAAAGUCUAAAUUUGGUUGUUCCAAGGUAAACAAUUAUUUGUUUCUAUGUUGUGGUCGCGAUUGAAACAAAUGAUUUUUCCAAGUAUUUUUUGCCCACAGGAUUUGUUUCUUCCAAAGUAGUACUUGCUUAGAUACAAACCAUGAUUACAAUUUUAAUCAAUCGCUGGCAUGUUUAUUUUUACCAAAUGUUAGGUUGACGAAAAUAGCUCAUGGUUGACAAAUACAACCUAGAUCUUAGGUUGGAUUAAAUUAAUAGAGGCAACAAAAAUUACCUAAAAAUUUGGUUGGGUGAAAUCCAAGCUAAGAAAAAGUUCGAAGCGAACUAAAAUAUUAGUUUGUUCACACCACACCUAGUUGCGUCGCGUCGGCCGGAUUCUUUGCUGUUUCAUUGUUGUCAUCGUGCGAGUUAUCGUGUACAUGGGAGCAAGAUUGGAAGUUCGAUUGGCGAGCUGGUCGAGCAUUUGCGACCAUUUCAGGACAGCUGUAUCAUCUGGAGGCGCCUCAGAAAAACCUUCAGCGUACGGAUUAUAACAAGGAAGGCGCAUCCAAUAACCGAUAAAUGUUCCGCCCGGCUUUUGCGUACUCAGGCGCAAUUUGCGAGAUUCGACGCUUUUCUUGGGGCGGAGAUCAUGGUUUCGGAAAUCCACCUGAUCCGGACACUAAAUGGCUACCGCCGUCGCCGUCACCGUCAACAGUCCGCUACUCCGUUACUCGUUGCAGUCUCUGGGACCAUCAGAAUCCUAACCCUGACCCUGAAUUACAGAAGUGGAUUGAUUUGUGGUACCGUGACAUCACUUAAUUCCAUCCACUUUUUUCGGUUCCUACUUCCAUUCACGCCAUUCGUUUUGCAUGAUGUGAAUGGAAUUAGGAACCAAAAAUGUAAUUGGAAUUGGGUGAUGUCUCGGUACACAAAAUGUAAGCCAAAUAGGAUAAAUAAUAACGUUUUCCUAUAGGAAUAAACGAAAGAUUGGCACGAAUAUUCGUUGUUUUAUUUUUUCAUUAUUUUUUUAUAAAAAACGAUAAGAAGAAGAUGGAGGGUUAGGGAAGCGUGAUCACACAAAAUAAUUUCAACAAACUUUUUGUUAAAUUUGAACUGCAGUGUUUGUUUGUUUGUAGCUGAUUUUUGCUAGAUUGAAACUACACAAUCUGGCUGAAAUAACAAAUGUUCUAGUUUGUUUCGAGAGCUGUCAAAACACAACAACCAAAAUAAUGGUAAGUUUUAACAAAAUUUGGUUGAAUUAACCUACUGAACCCUCAAAACAGUUACAUAAUAAUUUAGUUAGCUUUAACCAACGCCACCAGUUGAAAGAAACUAAGAUUUUGUUUGUGCAAAAAUCAACCUUGAAAUUAGGUUGGAUCUUGCUAAAUUUUGUUUGCAUUUACCAAAUAUUUUUCUCCGUGUAUGGUUCAACGCGCCAUGGAGCGUAAUUCCCCGAAGACCUACCCAAAACAGAAAUGUCCAAAACGCAGUCAAAUUCUGGCGGAUUAUGUGAAAACUCAGGCUUGGAAGCUGUACGACGAUGUUUUGAGCAAAAAUUGCAUGUGCUGUGCAUAUUCAUGGAUGAUGAAACGUAUGUCAAAUUGGACUACAACACGGAGAAAAAUAUUUGGUAAAUGCAAACAAAAUUUAGCAAGAUCCAACCUAAUUUCAAGGUUGAUUUUUGCACAAACAAAAUCUUAGUUUCUUUCAACUGGUGGCGUUGGUUAAAGCUAACUAAAUUAUUAUGUAACUGUUUUGAGGGUUCAGUAGGUUAAUUCAACCAAAUUUUGUUAAAACUUACCAUUAUUUUGGUUGUUGUGUUUUGACAGCUCUCGAAACAAACUAGAACAUUUGUUAUUUCAGCCAGAUUGUGUAGUUUCAAUCUAGCAAAAAUCAGCUACAAACAAACAAACACUGCAGUUCAAAUUUAACAAAAAGUUUGUUGAAAUUAUUUUGUGUGAUCACGCUUCCCUAACCCUCCAUCUUCUUCUUAUCGUUUUUUAUAAAAAAAUAAUGAAAAAAUAAAACAACGAAUAUUCGUGCCAAUCUUUCGUUUAUUCCUAUAGGAAAACGUUAUUAUUUAUCCUAUUUGGCUUACAUUUUGUGUACCGAGACAUCACCCAAUUCCAAUUACAUUUUUGGUUCCUAAUUCCAUUCACAUCAUGCAAAACGAAUGGCGUGAAUGGAAGUAGGAACCGAAAAAAGUGGAUGGAAUUAAGUGAUGUCACGGUACCACAAAUCAAUCCACUUCUGUAAUUCAGGGUCAGGGUUAGGAUUCUGAUGGUCCCAGAGACUGCAACGAGUAACGGAGUAGCGGACUGUUGACGGUGACGGCGACGGCGGUAGCCAUUUAGUGUCCGGAUCAGGUGGAUUUCCGAAACCAUGAUCUCCGCCCCAAGAAAAGCGUCGAAUCUCGCAAAUUGCGCCUGAGUACGCAAAAGCCGGGCGGAACAUUUAUCGGUUAUUGGAUGCGCCUUCCUUGUUAUAAUCUGGAAAGAGUUCAAAACUAAUUGAGAUAAAAAAAAUCAUGAACUAAUUAUGAAACUUACCCGUACGCUGAAGGUUUUUCUGAGGCGCCUCCAGAUGAUACAGCUGUCCUGAAAUGGUCGCAAAUGCUCGACCAGCUCGCCAAUCGAACUUCCAAUCUUGCUCCCAUGUACACGAUAACUCGCACGAUGACAACAAUGAAACAGCAAAGAAUCCGGCCGACGCGACGCAACUAGGUGUGGUGUGAACAAACUAAUAUUUUAGUUCGCUUCGAACUUUUUCUUAGCUUGGAUUUCACCCAACCAAAUUUUUAGGUAAUUUUUGUUGCCUCUAUUAAUUUAAUCCAACCUAAGAUCUAGGUUGUAUUUGUCAACCAUGAGCUAUUUUCGUCAACCUAACAUUUGGUAAAAAUAAACAUGCCAGCGAUUGAUUAAAAUUGUAAUCAUGGUUUGUAUCUAAGCAAGUACUACUUUGGAAGAAACAAAUCCUGUGGGCAAAAAAUACUUGGAAAAAUCAUUUGUUUCAAUCGCGACCACAACAUAGAAACAAAUAAUUGUUUACCUUGGAACAACCAAAUUUAGACUUUGAACGUCAACUAAAAUUGUGGUUGCUUCAAACUAGUUUGAUUUCUCUCCGUGAAGGUAUUUCCAGGGGCACGAAUUUUCUCUGUUAAGCAUGGCACGGAUGUUACGAAUUGGGAGAAAUCGAUUUUUUGCGAAAAAAAUGGGAAAAUGUGUUGGUUAGGCAAGCAAUUUGUCAAUGUGGUAUGAAAUCGUCACCUUUCUUCACCGUCCCAGGUAUGAACGUCGAAAUAUACCGGAAGGAAUGUCUCCAGAAACAUAUUCUGCCACUCAUCUGAAAGCACAAAGGUCCUACAUUACUUUGGCCGGAUUUGGCAUCCUGCCACUAUGCGCGUGACACCUUUGACAGGUAUGAAGUAAACAAUGUUCAAUUUGUGGAAAAGGCAAUGAAUCCUCUAAAUUGCCCGUAAAUAAGGCCCAUUGAGAAAUAGUUAACUUUGAUGAAA